rnacentral:rRNA from 1 species
AUUGAACGCUGGCGGCAUGCCUUACACAUGCAAGUCGAACGGUAACGGGCCUUCGGGUGCCGACGAGUGGCGAACGGGUGAGUAAUGCAUCGGAACGUACCUUUCAGUGGGGGAUAACGUAGCGAAAGUUACGCUAAUACCGCAUAUUCUGUGAGCAGGAAAGCAGGGGAUCGCAAGACCUUGCGCUGAUUGAGCGGCCGAUGUCAGAUUAGCUAGUUGGUGAGGUAAAGGCUCACCAAGGCGACGAUCUGUAGCGGGUCGGAGAGGAAGAUCCGCCACACGGGAACUGAGACACGGGCCAGACUCCUACGGGAGGCAGCAGUGGGGAAUUUUGGACAAUGGGGGCAACCCUGAUCCAGCCAUGCCGCGUGAGUGAAGAAGGCCUUCGGGUUGUAAAGCUCUUUCGGCCGGGAAGAAAUCGUAUGGGCUAAUACCCUGUGCGGAUGACGGUACCGGCAUAAGAAGCACCGGCUAACUACGUGCCAGCCGCCGCGGUAAAAC